UCAUAAUCCACUUUACUCUUAAAUAAGGCACUCGAUGCAGAGUAUGCUUGCUAACAACUUCAAUCGGUAUACGUUUACUAACGACUUUGAUUAAAGUCGUUAGUAAUCGUAUACUGCAAAGAGUCCUUUAUUUGAAAGUAAAGUAGCAAACCAUCCAAGUGAAUAAGUCAUUUUCAUUCCUUCACAGUAAACCCCUACCCCAAUGCCAGUAAUGGUUUUAGAACAAUCCAUCCUUGAUACUUCACCCAAAUUCCCCUUCCUGGCCCUUCAGAAUAAGAAAAACAACAGUGAAGGGUCUGAAGAAGUUAAAUCUGGGCAUCAUGUAAUACUUAAUCAUCUCAAGAAUGUGACUGUGUAUGAUCUAUUCCACUCAAAAGAUGAGUGCUGCUCUUCUGAGAUCCGAGAUUUUUCU
rnacentral:lncRNA from 1 species